AUUGAACGCUGGCGGCAUGCCCUACACAUGCAAGUCGAACGGUAACAGGUCUUCGGAUGCUGACGAGUGGCGAACGGGUGAGUAAUACAUCGGAACGUGCCCAGACGUGGGGGAUAACGAGGCGAAAGCUUUGCUAAUACCGCAUACGAUCUAAGGAUGAAAGCAGGGGACCGCAAGGCCUUGCGCGUUUGGAGCGGCCGAUGGCAGAUUAGGUAGUUGGUGGGAUAAAAGCUUACCAAGCCGACGAUCUGUAGCUGGUCUGAGAGGACGACCAGCCACACUGGGACUGAGACACGGCCCAGACUCCUACGGGAGGCAGCAGUGGGGAAUUUUGGACAAUGGGCGAAAGCCUGAUCCAGCAAUGCCGCGUGCAGGAUGAAGGCCUUCGGGUUGUAAACUGCUUUUGUACGGAACGAAAAGGCUCUGGCUAAUACCUGGGGCACAUGACGGUACCGUAAGAAUAAGCACCGGCUAACUACGU
rnacentral:rRNA from 1 species